UUACACCCAUCUUGUAUUGCGACGGCCCCAAAAAUCCAGCGUGGAAGUCAGUGGCAAGUUUUAUUGGAUAAAAUCUAGCUCCCUGCCUUGGUGGACACUGGUCCCCUGAAGAUCAAAUAUGGCUGGCCCAACUUACAACAGCUGCAGCCCAAGGGAACCCAGCGAGGAAUUCAGCGAAAAGUAAUGCUGGACUGUGCCCAGACUCCUGCCUCGACAGACACUCAUUUCCUGCUACACCGACACGGCAGAGCAGGCAACAGCUAAUCAUACGACUGCUCCCUUAUAUGAGGUCUCAGACCCGCCAUGGUGCCGGUUCCUGUCUUUUGCAUAAGUUCAAGCAACUUUGAUCAACCAGGGUGAUAGCUCCUCUAAAGCUCCUUACCUAGAUCCAGCAUGAUUAUAAUUUAUUUUGUAAUCUUAUGUUUUUCUAAUUUUAUAUAGCAUUCAUUAGGCAUGCGUUCAGACAGCCUGUCACCAACUAAUCUUAUACUGACACAUGUGUUUGCCUAAUAAUCUACUUGCUUAUUAUUUUACUCUGUUAACACGCAUGUCUCACCAGCUUGUUUUAUACUCACUUACAGGUCUAAGUAACUCACAUCGACCACAUCUUAUGUUUUGCUAUAUAGACAUGUUUGACUACGCUGUGACCUAGCUACUUAACUUAAAAAAAAAAAAAAAAUGUGUGCAGUGACCUUCUAUGCCUUAUA